rnacentral:ncRNA from 7 species
GGGAGUAUGGUCGCAAGGCUGAAACU